rnacentral:lncRNA from 1 species
CUCCCGGGCCUCCGGAUCCUGGCUGGGAGCCAUCUCUGCCUCCUGCCGCUUCCUGCACUCCUGAUCAGGUCAGUGGCCAGUCACAGACCUCUGAAAUGUCCUUCCUGACUGUUAGCUCCACAGCAUUCCUACAGCUCCCGCCGCAGUUCCGCCCUCCGGAGGGUUCCAACAGCAGCCCAGUGCGCCUCCCCAGCCCCAGGCUCCCUCCACUCCAGUGAGCCUGCACCUGGCGCUCCCUGGCACACAUAUUUUCCAUUGCUCUUCACUGCCAAUUAAAUGCAAAUUUCUCAUCGUGGGGUUCCAAGUUCUCUGUAUUUGGUCCUCUUAUCCUGACAGCUCUACCCUCCCCAGAGCACUACAAUCUGGCCAAGAGCCUCACCAGCCUAUUCCCCCGAACCAUUGUUUUAUUUAUUUUAGAUUCAGGGGUAUUUGUAUGCAGGUUUGUUACAUAAGUAUAUUGCGUUAUGAUAAGGUUUGUGCUUCUGAUGAUGAUCCAGUCGCCCAACAUAGUACCGGAUAGUUAGGUUUUCUUCCAUUGCCCCCCUCUCCCUCCUUCCUUUUGGGGUCCCUGGUGUCUGUUAUUCCCAUGUUUAUGUCCUUAUGUACCCAGUGUUUAGAUCCCACUUAUAAGUGAGAGCAUGUGGCAUUUGGUUUUCUGUUUCUGCAUUAGUUUGCUUAGAAUAACGACUGCCAGCUGCAUCCAUGUUGCUGCAAAGGACAUGAUUUCCUUGUUUUUUAUGACUGCACAGUAUUCCAUGGCCAAAAAAAUGUGGUAUAAAAAUAUGUACCACAUUUUUUUAAUCCAGUCCACAGUCGAUGGGCACCUGGGUUGAUCACAUGUCUUCACUAUUGUGAACAGUGCUGCAAUGAACAUACGUGUGCAGGUGUCUUUUUGGUAGGACUAUUUAUAUUCCUUUGGGUAUAUACCUAGUAAUGGGAUUGCUUGGUCUAAUAUUCAUUCUAUUUUAGAUCUUUAAGAAAUCUGCAAACUGCUUUCCACAGGGGCUGCAUUAAUUUGCAUUCUCACCAAAGUGUGUAAGUAUUCCCUUUCUCCUCAACCUCUCCAGCAUCUGUUAUUUUUUGACUUUUUCAUAAUAGCCAUUCUGACUGGUGUGAAAUAGUACUUUAUUGAAACCACUGCUUUAGAAAGUGAAAGUCCUUUUCAGGUUUGUUUUUCAUUCACUGGCAGAGGUUGCUGGCCCAGCAGGGGUUGUGCAAACUCUGUCUUUGUUCCCCUGUAUUUGCCUUCCUCUCCCUUUUUCCUUCCUUUCCCUUUCUCAAUACACACACACACACACACACAACAUGUACAGAAGGGCUCUUAUCUGAAAUAAUCAAUAAAUAUCAAG